rnacentral:rRNA from 1 species
AACCGGCGAACGGGUGCGUAACACGUGAACAACCUGCCCUCGUGUGGGGGAUAGCCAUGCUAACGCGUGGGUAAUACCGCAUACGUUCCUCUGGGGGAGUCCCUGGGGGAGGAAAGCUCCGGCGCACGGGAGGGGUUCGCGGCCUAUCAGCUAGUUGGCGGGGUAAUGGCCCACCAAGGCGACGACGGGUAGCUGGUCUGAGAGGAUGGCCAGCCACAUUGGGACUGAGAGACGGCCCAG